CAUCUGUGGCUUUCUUCUGUAACCUCUGUGCUCAGCAGUGCCCUUGCCCAGAGUAGAAGUUAAGUACUUGAGUGAAGGUCUCUUAAAUAUCACUGAUAGAUUCUGGGCUGAAGGAAGGGCAUGAUUUAAUCAGAAAUCAGCCACUUUAAAGGGAAGAUGCCUUGGGUAAUCACUCAAGGUGACAACUGAAUGCUUGGGGUACCAGAUAGAGUUAGGAUUUUUAUUCCUAUCUAAAAAUUAAUGCACUUUUAAAAGUGUUUGGUGCCAUUGGACAACUAAGUUCAUUAUAGGUGGGGGCAGUAAGAAGCCUAUAAGCAGUACUGAUAUUUUCCUCACGAAAGAUUACAAAUGUUUCAAGCCAUUGCAGAGAACUUUGUUGGGCUUCUAGAAUCCUUCUAAAUAGUGGAGGAUGUCUGGUGACCAUAUGUCCUGGACUUUCUGGGGAUAGGCCCAAAUGCAGUUAAUUUUAGAAAUUUUACCAUUUUAGAAAGGUAAUUUAAUCCAUGUUUAAUUGGAUUCAUUUGAAUUGUUAUAGUUCCAAAUGAUUUUUUCAAAUACAUAAUUUCACAAAUCAAAAUCAAAAGUCUUUUUUUUUUUUUUUUCGGAUUGCGUUCUCACUUUUGAUGCUGAAAAUG
rnacentral:lncRNA from 1 species